AUGCUCAAAAGAGCAUCAGAGAUGUGCGAGGAGAUUGUUGAGUUCUGCAAUGAGUACGAGGCAGCCGUCGUGGAUGCCGUUGCCGCGCUGCCGACCCGCUCGCCGUCGCCGACUUCCAACCCAGGCCUGGCGCGGGGACGCUACCACAGGACGUCCGACGCCUUCAAGCUGUUCGACAAAAUGCCGAAUCCGUACGACAAUCGGCCAAGUGCCCGUUGUCCGCUACUACCGGUGAGCUGUUGUACCGAGCGCGCCCAUGGAUCACGGUGCUUGCUCGAGAAAAGGGGCGCGUCUGCAAGGCGAGCUGGUGAUCCACGAUCAGCUAGCCACCUACCACCCUUCCACGCCGCCACCGCCCAGAUCUCCGUCCUAGAAACCCGCCGCCAGAAGCAAGUGCGUGAUCACCUCAUCGCCACCAUGGAUCCCGCGCUCAAAGCUUACCUCGACAAGAUGAGCGACGAGGCCACCGCCCGCGCCAACAAGCAAGACGGCGACAACAAUGCCAUCCUCCAGGCCUUGGCGACGCAGACGGCGCGGAUUGACUCCCUCGUCACCUGGAAGCCGGAGUUGGAGGCGCGGUUCACGCAAUUGGAGCUCUCGGUCGCGGCUCUCCAAGCCGCAUCAUCUUCAACUGCACCAUCCAUCGGAUCGCCGCCACUUGCGACCCCUCCCAUGGUUGCGCGCGAGAUCCAAGGGCAAUCAGGUCACGACGCGCCACUGCAUCCUGGGGGAUCCUCGUCGGUGAUCCCCGAGUCACCAGCGACUUCCCCGGUCACAGACGGCCAACGUUCAAGGCUCACCUUGCUUGGUCAGAUGAAGAUGGAAGAUGAGAUCCCAGGGGAAACCCCUAGCCCGGGUACUCCUGGUGCGGAUGAUGGCGGCGCAGCUGGCAUCGCGACCCUUCUUGAAGGCAUCAUCUUGGGGUCUGCUUGGGUGACGUGUGGUGGUGCUUGCUGCGGGAUGGUGGUGGUGGUGGUGCGGCCGGAUGGGCCGAUGGUGGGCGAGACGGGCAGUGAAACAGCUGCCAUGGCAGCGAAAGGCAAAGGUUAUGAUCAGAAUGGCCUCCCCUACUAUACUGGCUACCCAGCAGGUGAUGAUCAGAAUGCCAUGCACUUCUAUCUUGUCGCCUAUGCUGCAACUGCGGUGGGCGUCCCAGCAACUGAUGCUGUCAACAUGGACGGCAAUGCUGGAUCUCCUGCCGGCGCCGGGCAGGCCGAAUCGAUAGGCCGCAUCACACUUGCAUCAGAUGCUCCUCCCGUCGCUGCAAUCGACUCUCCGAAGUGA
rnacentral:rRNA from 1 species